CCUACGGGAGGCAGCAGUUGGGAAUCUUGGACAAUGGGGGAAACCCUGAUCCAGCCAUGCCGCGUGAGUGAUGAAGGCCUUCGGGUUGUAAAACUCUUUCGACGGGGACGAUAAUGACGGUACCCGUAGAAGAAGCUCCGGCUAACUUCGUGCCAGCAGCCGCGGUAAUACGAAGGGGGCUAGCGUUGUUCGGAAUUACUGGGCGUAAAGCGCGCGCAGGCGGUCUUCCAAGUCAGUGGUGAAAGCCCGGAGCUCAACUCCGGAACUGCCAUUGAAACUGUAAGACUUGAGGACGAGAGAGGUGAGUGGAAUUCCCAGUGUAGAGGUGAAAUUCGUAGAUAUUGGGAAGAACACCGGUGGCGAAGGCGGCUCACUGGCUCGUAUCUGACGCUCAGGCGCGACAGCGUGGGGAUCAAACAGGAUUAGAUACCCUGGUAGUCCACGCCGUAAACGAUGAAUGCUAGCCGUUGGGUAGCUUGCUAUUCAGUGGCGCAGCUAACGCAUUAAGCAUUCCGCCUGGGGAGUACGGCCGCAAGGUUGAAACUUAAGGAAUUGACGG
rnacentral:rRNA from 1 species